AUACAUGCAAGUCGAGCGGACCUUUUAAAAGCUUGCUUUUGAAAGGUCAGCGGCGGACGGGUGAGUAACACGUGGGCAACCUGCCUGUAAGACUGGGAUAACUUCGGGAAACCGGAGCUAAUACCGGAUAAUAUAAGGAACCUCCUGGUUCUUUAUUGAAAGAUGGUUUCGGCUAUCACUUACAGAUGGGCCCGCGGCGCAUUAGCUAGUUGGUGAGGUAACGGCUCACCAAGGCGACGAUGCGUAGCCGACCUGAGAGGGUGAUCGGCCACACUGGGACUGAGACACGGCCCAGACUCCUACGGGAGGCAGCAGUAGGGAAUCUUCCACAAUGGACGAAAGUCUGAUGGAGCAACGCCGCGUGAGCGAUGAAGGCCUUCGGGUCGUAAAGCUCUGUUGUUAGGGAAGAACAAGUGCGAGAGUAACUGCUCGCACCUUGACGGUACCUAACCAGAAAGCCACGGCUAACUACGUGCCAGCAGCCGCGGUAAUACGUAGGUGGCAAGCGUUGUCCGGAAUUAUUGGGCGUAAAGCGCGCGCAGGUGGUCCUUUAAGUCUGAUGUGAAAGCCCACGGCUCAACCGUGGAGGGUCAUUGGAAACUGGGGGACUUGAGUGCAGAAGAGGGAAAGU
rnacentral:rRNA from 1 species